rnacentral:rRNA from 1 species
ACGAACGCUGGCGGCGUGCUUAACACAUGCAAGUCGAACGGAAAGGCCCUGCUUUUGUGGGGUGCUCGAGUGGCGAACGGGUGAGUAACACGUGAGUAACCUGCCCUUGACUUUGGGAUAACUUCAGGAAACUGGGGCUAAUACCGGAUAGGAGCUCCUGCUGCAUGGUGGGGGUUGGAAAGUUUCGGCGGUUGGGGAUGGACUCGCGGCUUAUCAGCUUGUUGGUGGGUAGUGGCUUACCAAGGCUUUGACGGGUAGCCGGCCUGAGAGAGUGACCGGCCACAUUGGGACUGAGAUACGGCCCAGACUCCUACGGGAGGCAGCAGUGGGGAA